rnacentral:rRNA from 1 species
UACGGGGGGAGCAAGCGUUGUUCGGAUUUACUGGGCGUAAAGGGCGCGUAGGCGGCGCAACAAGUCACUUGUGAAAUCUCCGGGCUUAACCCGGAGCGGCCAAGUGAUACUGUCGUGCUAGAGUGCGGAAGGGGCUACUGGAAUUCUCGGUGUAGCGGUGAAAUGCGUAGAUAUCGAGAGGAACACCUGCGGCGAAGGCGGGUAGCUGGGCCGACACUGACGCUGGAGGCGCGAAAGCCAGGGGAGCGAACAGG